UCCUACACCUACACCUACACCUCUGUGAUGACGAUUUGCUUAAGAUCACGGAAGCUUGGGUUAAUGGAGUGCUUGUAUUUAGUUUUUGUUUUGACCUUGCGAAACUUGUUACCUAUGGAUGAAACUAUGUAAUAUUGAUGAAACUAUGUAUAUGUACGGAUGAAACUUGCUACUAUUGGUAACAUGUAUUGGAUAUAU